UUUAGGGGAACAAUAAGGUUAGAAAGAUCAUUUGAGGUUGAAACAGAGAGAAUCUUAAAUGUGAGGCUAAGUUAGACGUAUCAUACACUGGUUUAUUCACAUUGACAUUUGCUAAUGUAUUACCUCUUGGGUCUUUUGCCCUCUUCAGUCAGCUUCAUUUCAUCACUGCAGACAGUGGGAUUUUUUUCUCCUCUCCAUUGUGAAGUUUAUAUUUAUAUUCAUAAUUUCCCUGAGGCUUAAUCAGUCCAAACCCUUCCAAAUUCUCUCUGGCAAUCUAUGUGUCACUGGUAAGCAUGAUUUUACCAAAACUACCUAUUUAUCUGCUAGUUUUUUCCAAAACAGAAGCAAACAGAAUAAAUUCAACAUAUGUUAACAUCAACUGCUUUAUUUUAAUAGAAAUAUACUUAAACUCUGGUCUAAGAUAAUUAGUUUGCAUAAUGAUAGCUCAGAAAACAUAUAUUAAAUAUUAAGUUUUUGCCUGACUCCAUGUUAAACAAGCCUCAAGGUCAAUGGUGGUUAUCUCUAAUACAUUAGGUUUAUGUUUAUGUUUGCACUCAAAGCAGUGACUUUACAAGGCAAGCAAAGAUUACUAUACCCUUAAGAACACUUGGUAACUGGUACAAAUAAUUGGUACACUUCUAAUUGGAAAUGAAUCCUGGAGAAAAUUCACUUGUAACGUGUUAACAUCUGUCUUUUUGAACUCACCUGCAUCCCAUUACCCUACUCUUUGCUGAUGUCAACAUAAUAAUCACUACAUUUCCUUACCAGGCCUUAUCAAUCAGAUUUGGGAAGGUAAUUUCCAAAAUCCUCUGCCUCUGGCAAAGAAUUAUGUAGCUGUUAGAUUUGCUACCAUAAGA
rnacentral:lncRNA from 1 species